rnacentral:tRNA from 1 species
GCGGGAGUAGCUUAUGAGGUAGAGCAGUGUGAAGUCUGGAAUAAUAUCAGAUGGGAUCCUCAUGGAAGCAGGUUCGAGUCCUGCCCCUGCGCA